UACGUAGGGUGCAAGCGUUACUCGGAAUUACUGGGCGUAAAGCGUGCGCAGGCGGUUUUGUAAGCCAGGUGUGAAAUCCCCGGGCUCAACCUGGGAAUGGCAUUUGGGACUGCAAGGCUGGAGUGCGGCAGAGGAGACUGGAAUUCCUGGUGUAGCAGUGAAAUGCGCAGAUAUCAGGAGGAACACCGAUGGCGAAGGCAGGUCUCUGGGCAUUAACUGACGCUGAGGAGCGAAAGCAUGGGGAGCGAACAGG
rnacentral:rRNA from 1 species